rnacentral:rRNA from 1 species
AGUGAACGCUGGCGGUAGGCCUAACACAUGCAAGUCGAACGGCAGCACAGUAAGAGCUUGCUCUUACGGGUGGCGAGUGGCGGACGGGUGAGGAAUACAUCGGAAUCUACUUUUUCGUGGGGGAUAACGUAGGGAAACUUACGCUAAUACCGCAUACGACCUACGGGUGAAAGCAGGGGAUCUUCGGACCUUGCGCGAUUGAAUGAGCCGAUGUCGGAUUAGCUAGUUGGCGGGGUAAAGGCCCACCAAGGCGACGAUCCGUAGCUGGUCUGAGAGGAUGGACAGCCACAUUGGAUGAGAGGCACAUUCGAGACACCUGCGGUAGGAAGCAGCGCGGAAUAUUACACAAGGCACGCGAGCCUGAUCCUGCCAUACCGCGGGGAGGAAGAAGGCGUUCUGGUGGGAAAGCCCUUUUGUUGGGAGAGAAAAACAGCAGGUUAAUACCCCACGGUUCUGACGGUACCCAAAGAAUAAGCACCGGCUAACUUCGUG